GUGGGGAAUAUUGCACAAUGGGCGCAAGCCUGAUGCAGCAACGCCGCGUGAGGGACGACGGCCUUCGGGUUGUAAACCUCUUUUAGCAGGGAAGAAGCGAAAGUGACGGUACCUGCAGAAAAAGCACCGGCUAACUACGUGCCAGCAGCCGCGGUAAUACGUAGGGUGCAAGCGUUGUCCGGAAUUAUUGGGCGUAAAGAGCUCGUAGGCGGUUUGUCGCGUCUGCUGUGAAAACCCGAGGCUCAACCUCGGGCCUGCAGUGGGUACGGGCAGACUAGAGUGCGGUAGGGGAGAUUGGAAGUCCUGGUGUAGCGGUGGAAUGCGCAGAGAUCAGGAGGAACACCGAUGGCGAAGGCAGAUCUCUGGGCCGUAACUGACGCUGAGGAGCGAAAGCGUGGGGAGCGAACAGGAUUAGAAACCCCGGUAGUCC
rnacentral:rRNA from 1 species